rnacentral:rRNA from 1 species
CCUACGGGCGGCAGCAGUGGGGAAUAUUGCACAAUGGGGGAAACCCUGAUGCAGCCAAGUAGCGUGCAGGAUGACGGCCCUACGGGUUGUAAACUGCUUUUAUACGGGAAUAACGCGCCUUACGUGUAGGGCUUUGCAUGUACCGUAUGAAUAAGGACCGGCUAAUUCCGUGCCAGCAGCCGCGGUAAUACGGAAGGUCCGGGCGUUAUCCGGAUUUAUUGGGUUUAAAGGGAGCGUAGGCCGCAUGUCAAGCGUGCUGUGAAAUGUCCGGGCUCAACCCGGGCCUUGCAGCGCGAACUGGCGGGCUUGAGUCCGCGGAAGGCAGGCGGAAUUCGUCGUGUAGCGGUGAAAUGCUUAGAUAUGACGAAGAACCCCGAUUGCGAAGGCAGCUUGCUGCAGCGGAACUGACGCUGAUGCUCGAAAGCGCGGGUAUCGAACAGGAUUAGAUACCCGUGUAGUU